AUUGAACGCUGGCGGCAUGCCUUACACAUGCAAGUCGAACGGCAGCACGGGAGCAAUCCUGGUGGCGAGUGGCGAACGGGUGAGUAAUAUAUCGGAACGUGCCCAGUAGUGGGGGAUAGCCCGGCGAAAGCCGGAUUAAUACCGCAUACGACCUGUGGGUGAAAGCGGGGGAUCGCAAGACCUCGCGCUAUUGGAGCGGCCGAUAUCAGAUUAGCUUGUUGGUGGGGUAAAAGCCCACCAAGGCGACGAUCUGUAGCUGGUCUGAGAGGACGACCAGCCACACUGGGACUGAGACACGGCCCAGACUCCUACGGGAGGCAGCAGUGGGGAAUUUUGGACAAUGGGCGCAAGCCUGAUCCAGCCAUGCCGCGUGUGGGAAGAAGGCCUUCGG
rnacentral:rRNA from 1 species